rnacentral:rRNA from 1 species
AAAGCGUGCGUAGGCGGCUUUUUAAGUCGGAUGUGAAAUCCCCGAGCUUAACUUGGGAAUUGCAUUCGAUACUGGGAAGCUAGAGUAUGGGAGAGGAUGGUAGAAUUCCAGGUGUAGCGGUGAAAUGCGUAGAGAUCUGGAGGAAUACCGAUGGCGAAGGCAGCCAUCUGGCCUAAUACUGACGCUGAGGUACGAAAGCAUGGGGAGCAAACAGGAUUAGAUACCCUGGU